UAUAAUAGGUAUCCACACACAUGCUAAUUCAUCUGUGAGCCAAUCGGAGAGACCGAACGAUCGAUCGCCGAGAGGCUGAGCUUAUAAAUCAACCGUCGAUCAGCCGCCGUUCUCCGCCGUUGGCGGCUGGAAACUGAUAAAUCCUCUCUUUCUAUUUAUUUUUAAUUAUUAUUAUUUUUUUUACGUAUUUUUGUUUCUUGUGGAAUCGUGAAAAGCUCUCUUCGCUGGAAAUGCUACCGAAGCCCUCUGUAUCGUCUGUUCUAAUAGACCAAAUCAACGGCUCCGAUUCAAUCUCCGUCUCAAUCCAUUGCCAUAAGGAGGCUCAGAAGUGGUUUCCGGUGCAGGAAUCCGUAGCCCUUUACCAUACGCACGCUGUGGGGCCCAACCAGACCUGCUCCGCCGUGGUCCGAGAAAUCGCCGCCCCCGUCUCCACCGUCUGGUCAGUGGUCCGGCGGUUCGACAACCCUCAGGCUUACAAACACUUCGUCAAGAGCUGCCACGUCGUUGUAGGCGACGGCAACGUCGGAACCCUAAGGGAGAUCCACGUCAUCUCCGGCCUUCCCGCCGGCUGCAGUACAGAACGUCUCGAGAUUCUCGACGACGAACACCACAUCCUCAGUUUCAGCAUGAUCGGCGGCGACCACCGCCUCGCCAACUACAGAUCCGUCACAACACUCCAUCCGUCGCCGACCGACGGCGGAAAUAAAACCAUCGUCGUGGAGUCCUACGCCGUCGAUACGCCGCCGGGAAAUACCAAAGAAGAAACAACCGUGUUCGUCGAUACGAUUCUCCGUUGCAAUCUUCAGUCGUUGGCUAAACUCGCCGAAAAUUUGCAUAAACCCAAUAAUCAAUCUCCGCCGUAACUUCAUCAAUUAGAACCUUCUCUAUUUUCCUCUGUUCUCUGCUUCUUCAAUUUUUGGCUUAAUCGUCUAGAAAUUCUCAUUGGCAAUUGGAAGGUUCUAGAAAGAGGAGGUGAAAUUGUUAAGGGCAGUGGAGACAGGGCCUUUAUUUAUUUUUUUAUUUUUAUUUUUAA